GGGAGCACUUUGCUGUAAUGCAACUGAUGUGUUUUGUGAAUGUUAACUUGUUGAGUGAUAUCCCAACACAAUACAAAUGCAGAAAAUUUGGGACCAGGAAAAAGCUCACCUCAAGGUAUUUAAUGAGCUCAUGGCUGACAAUAGAAUCUGACCAACCAUCUUAUUACCAUUGUGGAGUCUUGCAAGGUUUGCUUUAGUUGAUCAAGAAGUUCCGGGAUGAAGAAAUGGAACAUCAGGAUACAGGAUUAGAACACGAUGCUGAACUGGUAAAUACAGGGAUUAACAGAAAUAAGAUCAAUAGAAGAAGAAACCACAAUGAAGGGAAAGAAAAAAACUUUUCUUAAAAUCCUGAAUACUCCUUUUCUCAUUAUUUCCAGGCUCCUGCUUACUCGCUGAUGAAUAACCUUAUCCAAGUUGGCUGCAAGGGUGCAAUAUAUAUGUCUGAACGCAUCUAGAAUAACUAUUUAUAGUUCAGAAUUACACGCAUAGAAGUUUGAAUUGAAUGUACAGUAUGAUUAUUUUGUAAAUUACAGUGCUUCCCCUUAUAACGCUGUAGUCGGGAGUCAUAGUUAAAAGACCAUGCUAUUUGUGUUCCACCUUCUAACGAGAAUACUAGUGUUAGUUUAAUGGCAUUAUGGGUCAAAUGGGAGCCAUGACCAGUUCCACAGUAUAAAGGUCCGCCUUAUAAAC